rnacentral:rRNA from 1 species
CCUACGGGGGGCUGCAGUGAGGAAUAUUCCACAAUGGACGAAAGUCUGAUGGAGCAACGCCGCGUGGAGGAUGAAGGCCCUCGGGUCGUAAACUCCUUUUUUCAGGGAAGAGAAUGGACGGUACCUGAAGAAUAAGUCACGGCUAACUACGUGCCAGCAGCCGCGGUAAUACGUAGGUGGCAAGCGUUAUCCGGAAUUACUGGGCGUAAAGCGCACGCAGGCGGUCUUUUAAGUUUGACGUGAAAGCUCUCGGCUUAACUGGGAGAGGUCGUUGA